rnacentral:rRNA from 1 species
UCUUAUGUACAUGCCUACAACGUUAAUGCAUCGGAUCCCAUCAGAACUUUGCAAUUAAGCACACUUGGGAUAGAGUAGUAUUGGGAUGGGUGACCUCUCAUGAAUUCCUGGUGUUUUACAUGCC